rnacentral:rRNA from 1 species
UACGUAGGGUGCAAGCGUUAAUCGGAAUUACUGGGCGUAAAGCGCACGUAGGCGGCUUGGUAUGUCGGGUGUGAAAUCCCCGGGCUCAACCUGGGAACUGCAUCCGAAACUGCCUUGCUAGAGUAUGGGAGAGGGAAGUGGAAUUUCCGGUGUAGCGGUGAAAUGCGUAGAUAUCGGAAGGAACAUCAGUGGCGAAGGCGACUUCCUGGACCAAUACUGACGCUCAGGUGCGAAAGCGUGGGGAGCAAACAGG